rnacentral:rRNA from 1 species
GAUGAACGCUGGCGGCGUGCCUAAUACAUGCAAGUCGAGCGAACGGACGAGAAGCUUGCUUUUCUGAUGUUAGCGGCGGACGGGUGAGUAACACGUGGAUAACCUACCUAUAAGACUGGGAUAACUUCGGGAAACCGGAGCUAAUACCGGAUAAUAUUUUGAACCACAUGGUUCAAAAGUGAAAGACGGUCUUGCUGUCACUUAUAGAUGGAUCCGCGCUGCAUUAGCUAGUUGGUAAGGUAACGGCUUACCAAGGCAACGAUGCAUAGCCGACCUGAGAGGGUGAUCGGCCACACUGGAACUGAGACACGGUCCAGACUCCUGCGGGAGGCAGCAGUAGGGAAUCUUCCGCAAUGGGCGAAAGCCUGACGGAGCAACGCCGCGUGAGUGAUGAAGGUCUUCGGAUCGUAAAACUCUGUUAUUAGGGAAGAACAUAUGUGUAAGUAACUGUGCACAUCUUGACGGUACCUAAUCAGAAAGCCACGGCUAACUACGUG